UAAGGAUCGGCUAACUCCGUGCCAGCAGCCGCGGUAAUACGGAGGAUCCGAGCGUUAUCCGGAUUUAUUGGGUUUGAAGGGUGCGUAGGCGGUUUGAUAAGUCAGCGGUGAAAUAUUUCAACUUAACUGAAAGGGUGCCGUUGAUACUGUCAGGCUUGAAUAUGGUUGCUGUGGGUGGAAUGUGUGGUGUAGCGGUGAAAUGCUUAGAUAUCACACAGAAUAUCGAUUGCGAAGGCAGCUCACAAAGCCAUUAUUGACGCUGAUGCACGAAAGUGUGGGGAUCAAACAGGAUUAGAUACCCUGGUAGUCCACACUGUAAACGAUGAUAACUCGCUGUCGGCGAUACACAGUCGGUAGCCAAGCGAAAGCGAUAAGUUAUCCACCUGGGGAGUACGACCGCAAGGUUGAAACUCAAAGGAAUUGACGGGGGCCCGCACAAGCGGAGGAACAUGUGGUUUAAUUCGAUGAUACGCGAGGAACCUUACCCGGGCUCGAACGGUGCAGGAAUAUGUCAGAGAUGGCAUAGCUAGCAAUAGUCUGUAUCGAGGUGCUGCAUG
rnacentral:rRNA from 1 species